CCUCUACACUUUAUUUGUGUCUAAUAUUGGCCAUUUGCUAUUUCUGAAUUCAAGAAGUUCGAGUAUCUGCUUUUUGCAUCAGCUGCUACUUAACAAACUCCAGAUUUCUACAGAAAACCCUUCAAAAAUCAGCAUAAAACUCUAGACUUGGAUCUGCAGAAGACUAAUGGCUCAGUGUGGGGACUAAAUAACAGUCUUCAGGUUUGCUGCUGUGGGAUGCUCAGUGCCUUCCUGCAGGAUAGGUGCUGGACUUGUGUAGGAUCAAG
rnacentral:lncRNA from 1 species